rnacentral:rRNA from 1 species
UUAAAUGGCCGCGGUAUUUUGACCGUGCUAAGGUAGCAUAAUCAUUAGUUUUUUAAUUAAAAGCUGGAAUGAAGGGUUGGAUGAAAAAAUAACUGUCUUUAUUUAAUAAAUAGAAUUUUAUUUUUAAGUUAAAAAGCUUAAAUUUUUUUAAAAGACGAGAAGACCCUAUAGAGUUUUAUAAGAUUAAUGAUUUUAUUUUUUAGUAUUUAUUUAUUAGAUUAUUUAUUUAUUUGAUUGGGGUGAUUAAAAAAUUUAAUUAACUUUUUUUUUAUUUUUAUACAUAUAAGUAGAUUUUUGAUCCAUUAUUAAUGAUUAUAAGAUUAAACUACCUUAGGGAUAACAGCGUAAUUUUACUGGAGAGUU